CACGUAGGGGGCAAGCGUUGUCCGGAAUUAUUGGGCGUAAAGAGCUCGUAGGCGGUUUGUCGCGUCUGCUGUGAAAACCUAAGGCUCAACCUUGGGCUUGCAGUGGGUACGGGCAGACUAGAGUGCGGUAGGGGUGACUGGAAUUCCUGGUGUAGCGGUGAAAUGCGCAGAUAUCAGGAGGAACACCGGCGGCGCAAGGCGGCGCUCUGGGCCGGUACUGACGCUGAGGAGCGAAAGCGUGGGUAGCAAACAGG
rnacentral:rRNA from 1 species